rnacentral:lncRNA from 1 species
UUAGCUUCUCUGGGAAAAAUUAGUAAAGAUGCAGCUUAAAUUAUCAAAAGUGUUAUUUCAUUAGUGUAGCUGUUUCCAGUUUCCCUGCUCAACUAUACUGGCAAGAUCAUUUUCAUUAUCCUUGUGUAAGUCCACAGUACCUUUAGGACUAACUUCAAUCCGUUUCCUUUGCCCAUGCGUAGAUCUGGUCUACAGUUGAGAUGUUAUACCUGUUCCCUUUGGUGCCCAAGCUCUGAAGAGCUCCAGCUAUACGGCCAACUGCAGGCAUUAACAGAGACGUAGUCUUAAUCAGUGCCUGCUGGCCAGCUUUCUCAGGAACUUGGCUGUCCGUGGUUUCACCCCACAGGCAAUAUCUCAACACAGCUGCAGCUUCGCAAUGCUCUGCUGCCGGCAGCUCUUUUAGCUUCUAGCUCUGCAAGUACAGUCGAGCACGUUUCCAUCGUGUUUCUCUCUGCUUUUCCCUUCCCAUCUCCCUGUGCUCCAUUUCAAAGCUGGCACUUGUGGGAAGAGAAUCCUUUAGAAGUCAUCCUAUACAGAGCGGUGGGUUCCCUGCAGAAAUCAGAGGCAGAGGUUAAAGCAGAGGUGAGUGCAGUUUCCCUUGUGUUACACACAGGCUCAUGGCCUAUGUUUGGGAGUGUGUGGCCAUUAAAGACGCCCAGAAAGCUCCACCUCAGCCAAGAACUUCCUAAUAUCAGGACUUGUUUCCAUUUCCUUCUGCAUUUCAUCCUGCCACAAAAACAUAAAGUGCUACCUCUGAGCAUGCUGUGGCAAAGCCCAGACUUGACGGUGGAGCUCAGCACCUGCCCAAGGCUGAGGUGCCUGCGUUUGGGAAACCAGGUCCUCCACGCCCAUACCCGCACCAGGGACACCAUCUGCUGCGAGCACGCCUCUCGCCCACAGGACAGCUCUGCACGAAGGCAUUCCUGCUCCCUCUCCCUGAGCCCGCUUCUCUGUGCAGGUGGUGGCAGCUGGGCCUGGGAGAGAAGGAGCCACUGA